rnacentral:rRNA from 1 species
UCCUGGCUCAGGACGAACGCUGGCGGCGUGCUUAACACAUGCAAGUCGAACGGUGAUGAGGAGCUUGCUCCUUGGAUCAGUGGCGAACGGGUGAGUAACACGUGAGCAAUCUGCCCUUGACUYUGGGAUAACUGCGGGAAACUGUAGCUAAUACCGGAUAUUACCCUUGGAGGCAUCUSUUKGGGKGGAAAGAAUUUUGGUCAGGGAUGAGCUCGCGGCCUAUCAGCUAGUUGGUGAGGUAAUGGCUCACCAAGGCGACGACGGGUAGCCGGCCUGAGAGGGUGACCGGCCACACUGGGACUGAGACACGGCCCAGACUCCUACGGGAGGCAGCAGUGGGGAAUAUUGCACAAUGGGCGCAAGCCUGAUGCAGCAACGCCGCGUGAGGGACGAAGGCCUUCGGGUUGUAAACCUCUUUUAGUAGGGAAGAAGCGACUGGGUUUUCCUGGGAGUGAC